rnacentral:lncRNA from 10 species
UCUCCCAAGUAGCUGGGACUACAGGUGCCCACCACCACACCCAGCUAAUUUUUUGUAUUUUUUUAAUAGAGACGGGGUUUCACCGUGUUAGCUAGGAUGGUCUCAAUCUCCUGACCUCGUGAUCCACCCGCCUCAGCCUCCCAAAGUGCUGGGAUUACAGGCGUGAGCCACCGCACCCAGCCCGUGUUCUAUUUUUUUAAAGACAGUGCCUUGCUCUGUCAUCCAGACUGGAGUGCAGUGGUGCCAUCAUAGCUCACUGCACCCUUGAACUCCCGGGUUCUAGCAAUCCUACCACCUCGGCCUCCUGAGAAGCUGGGACAACAGGCACACAUCCCACAACUGGCUAAUUUUUUUAAUUUGAAAAAAAAAAUGUUUUCAUAUAGCUGGGGGUUUCACUGUGUUACCCAGGAUGGUCUCUUUUCUGGGGCUCCAGUGAUGCUCCCACCUUGGCUUCCCAAAGUGCUAGAAUUACAAGCAUGAGCCACCACGCCUGGCCCAAACUUCCCUUUUUUUUUUUUUUUUUUUUUGGUAGAGAUGGGCGUCUUGCUAUAUAUUGCCCAAGCUGGUCUCGAACUCCUGGCCUCCAGUGAACUCAUGGCUAAGUGAUCCUCCCAUCUUGGCCUCCCAAAGCAGUGGGACUACAGACACACACCACUGCAACCAGCCCAAACCUCCACUUUUAUAUCCUCUGAUCAGAUUCUUGUUGAACCCUGGGCUAUGCCUUGGGUUUAUUGAGAUUCAAGAUUAAAUAAAGCCCUGGGCUUUGAGUGGUAAUGAGAGGAGAUUGAGGAGCCCACAGGCCACUCCCAGUUUCUCAAGCACCAGCUUUUAUGACUCGGGGACUUUGCAGCCAACAAUUCUCUCCUGUGCUUCUCUACUUAAGAAAUGUCUGCUCGGCCAGGCGUGGUGGCUCACACCUGUAAUCCCAGCACUUUGGGAUGCCAAGGCAGGCGGAUCACUUGAGGCCAGGAGUUUGAGACCAUCCUGGCCAAUAUGGUGAAACCCUGGUCUCUACUAAAAAUACAAAAGUUAACCAGGCAUGGUAGCAGGCGCCUGCAAUCCCAGCUAAUCGGGAGGCUGAGGCAAAAGAAUUGCUUGAACCCAGGAGGCGAGGUUGCAGUGAGCGGAGAUUGUGCCACUGAACUCCAGCCUGGGUGACAGAGUGAAAUUCCAUCUCAAAAAAAAAGAAAAAAAGAAAGAAAUGUCUACUCAUCCCUCAAGUCCCACUCCAAAGUCCCUUCCUCUAAUUGAGCUCUCAGUCCCCCAAGGAUUUUGCCAAUCUCCUGACCCUUCCUCUCUCAACCCUGCUCACCAAGGCUGUGUCCAAACCCGCCUCUGCCAUCAGACUGACAGGUCCUCCUGGGCAGGGUGUGUGUUGCACAGUGCCUGGCAUGGGCUGGAUACAGAGGAGACUGACUGUGUGUCUACAAUGCCCAGCCAAUGCCUCCUGGAAACCCUGUUCCCUGUAUUCCCCCAGGUCACACUCCAAAAAGUCCUCUUACCUGGCUUGGGAGGAAGGUCCUUGUAGGGAGGUGUUGAGUUCUCAUAGUCAUCAUCCUCCUCCUCCUCCUCCAUGGUCCCUUCCAGGGGAAAGGCAAGUCAGAGCCCAGCCAUUCCCUCCUCCCUCCAUCCCUCAAGCCCUGGUCUCUGCCUCAGCUGCCCCAUGAUGGGGAUUCUGUACCCUGGAUCUUGACCACACCUGGGCCCCAGCCCCAGCCUGGCCAGGGCCUUACCUGGUGGGUCUGGACACCCAGCGAUAGUAUACAUGUUGUGCAUGGCUACAGCUAACACCAGGAACAUGACAAGUGGUAGCCAGGUCUUGUCCCUCCUACUCAGAUGUCUAAGGCAUCUGUCUGUUUCCCUUUCCUUUCAAAGUCAAGUACAGGCAAAUCCAUCUUGGGGGGAAGCCCCUGGACCUCACACAAACACACACACACACACACACACACACACACACACACAUUUUUCUCCGGAGUUUGGAUUCACACACGGAAGAAACAAUGGGCCGGGAGUGGUGGCUCACAUCUGUAAUCCCAGCACUUUGGGAGGCUGAGGCUGGCAGGUUGCCUGAGUUUGGGAGUUCGAGAUCAGCCUGGGCAACCAACAUGGCGAAACCCCGUCUCUAACAAAAAUACAAAAACUAGCCAGGCAUGAUGGUGCAAGCCUGUAAUCCCAGCUACUUGUGAGGCUGAGGCAGGUGAAUCACUUGAACUCAGGAGGUGGAGGUUGCAGUGAGCUGAGAUCGCACCACUGCACUCCAACCUGAGUGACAGAGUGAGAUUCUGUCUCAAAAAAAAAAAAAAAGAGGAAGGAGAAACAAUGACAAUAGCCCCCAUUGCAGUGAGCCGAGAUAGCGCCACUGCACUCCAGCCUGGGCAACACAGUGAGAUUCUGUCUCAAAAAAAAGGGCCAGGCGCGGUGGCUCACGCCUGUAAUCCCAGCACUUUGGGAGACUGAGGCAGUCAGAUCACAAGGUCAGGAGAUCGAGACUAUCCUGGCUAACAUGGUGAAACCCUGUCUCUACUAAAAAUACAAAAAAUUAGCCAGGCGUGGUGGCGGGCGCCUGUGGUCCCAGCUACUCAGGAGGCUGAGGCAGGAGAAUGGCGUGAACCUGGGAGGCGGAGCUUGCAGUGAGCCGAGAUCGCGCCACUGCACUCCAGCCUGGGCGACAGAGCAAAACUCUGUCUCAAAAAAAAAAAAAGAAGAAAAGGAAAAAGAAGAAACUAUGACAACAGCCACACCCCUCCCCUCUCCCAGUUGAGCUCCCCUACAGAGCACCAAGUCCUGGGUGGAAGAGAUGGAUAAACUUCUUCCUGCAAUCUAGACCAGAGAGACAAUAAACCAGUAAAGAGACGCAGAAAUAGGCUGGGCGCAGUGGCUCAUGCCUAUAAUCCCAGCACUUUGGGAGGCCAAGGCAGGAGGAUCGCUUGAGGCCAGGAGUUCAAGACCAGCCUGGGCAACAUAGCAAGACCCUAUCUCUGUAAAAAAAAAAAAAAAAUUAGAAAAAACCAUCCAGGCAUGGUGGUGCACACCUGUAGUCCCAGCUAUCGGGAGACUGAGGUGGGAGGAUUGCUUGAGCUCAGGAGGUUGACACAGCAGUGAGCCAUGAUUGCACUACCACACUCCAGCCUGGGCAACAGAAGGAGACCCCACUCUUAAAGAAAAAAGAAAAGAGGCUGGGCAUGGUGGCUCACGCCUGUAAUCUCAGCACUUUGGGAGGCUGAGGCAGGCAGAUCACCUGAGGUCGGGAGUUCGAGACCAGCCUGAGCAACAUGGAGGAACCCCAUCUUUUCUAAAAAUACAAAAUUAGCCGGGCACGGUGGCACAUGCCUGUAAUCCCGCUGCCAGGGAGACUGAGUCAGGAGAAUCACUUGAACCCGGGAGGCAGAGGUUGCUGUCAGCCAAGAUUGCACCAUUGCACUCCGGCCUGGGCAGCAAGAGUGAAACUCCGUCUCAAGAAAAAAAAAAAAAAAAGUAAAGAAAUUAAGAAACAUUAAAAUAUGUUUUUAUAUAGACUAAGUAUUACUGCUCUAAACCUAAUAAAACAGAGCAAUAGGGAUAGGAUAAAAGCUAAUGUAGCGAGGUCAUCAGGAAGUGCCUCCUGGAAGUGGUAACAUUUGUAACAAGAUGUUAAGGGGAUAGGAUAAAAGCUAAUGUAGAGAGGUCAUCAGGAAGUACCUCCUGGAAGUGGUAACAUUUGUAACAAGAUGUUAAGGGGAUAGGUGUUAAGUAUUCCCCCACAUUCCAUGGUGAAGUACCAGGGCACUGGGUCAGUUAUCUAUGGCUGCACAACCAAUUACCCCAAAACGCAGUGACUUAAAACAACCAUAAGCAUUUAUUAUCUCACAGUUUCUGUGGUUCAGGAAUCUGAGAGCAGCUUAGCUGGGUAGUUCUAGCUUGAGAUCUCUUGCGUGAUUGUAGUCAAGAUGUUGCCUGGGACUGCAAGUCAUCUGCAGGCUUGACUGGGGCUAGAGGAUCUGCUUCCAAGAUGAUGCACUCACAUGGCUGUUGGUGGGAGGCCUCAGUUCCUUGCCAUGUGAGCCUCUCCAAAGGGAUGACUGGGCAUCUUCACAACAUGGCAGAGGCAAAGAUAGAAGCCACCAUGCUCCUAUGAUCUAGCCUCACAAGUCACAAAGGAUGGUCUCCACUAUACAGUAUUCUAUUUAUCACAUGGACCAGCUCUGAGUCAUUGUGGGAAGAGACUACACAAGGGCACGAAUAUGAGAACGUAAGGGUCACAGGGAACCCAUCUUGAAGGCUGACUACCACAGUCAUCUCUGCAGAACUUACAGGCCCUGAGAGUCAUAUGAGUCAUAUAUGUAGACCCUGAGCUUCACAUGAGGCUUUACAGACAGUGACUCAUGCCUGUAACCCCAGCUACUCGGGAGGGUGUAGUAGGAGGAUUGCUUGGACCCAGGAGCUCAAGGCUGCAGUGAGCUAUGAUUGCACCACUUCAGGGCAGCCUGGGUGACAAGCAAGACCCUGUCUCAAAAAUAUUUUUUUUAAAUUCUCUGGUUUCCUCUCAUAAAAACUAAUGAGCAGACAAUUCACAGUUCUCUUCUCUGUGUGUCUCUUUGAGGGUUUGAUUGAAAGGAGAAGGGAUGGAAGGGGAUGGAGGGGAUUUUAAAAAACAAAAACAGUUGCGUUUCAGGAUGGGGAUGAAGAUGAGGUGGGGUUUGGAUUAGAAUUGGUGUUGGGAUGGGGUGGGAUGGGAUGGAAAAUGGGUUGGGGACAGGGAUGGAUGUGGGUAAGGUCAUGAUGUGGUUAGGAUGAAGAACAGAGUCCUUGCCAGGUUUGGGAAUGGGGAAGGAGUCGAGGCUGGGCUAUAGUAGAGAGGGUGAUGAAGUUGGAUUGGAGAGUGGAUGCUGGGCUGCAUGUGGAUGUGGGGACAGGACUGUGCUUUUGGAGCAGACGUGGCCCUGAAGAAGGGAAUGGGAUUGGUUGGUCAUAUAUGUAGACCCAGGGCUUGAGGGUCACAUUAGGACCAUAAAUUGGAAAUGGGGCAGUGAAACAACACAGCACAGGUCACCUCCUACCUCAGGCAAGUCCCACCAUAUUUCUGGACCUCCCAGGUGGCCCCACUUUGGACUCAGAGAUGGGGGAUAUACAGCCUCAGCCCUCACAGAAUGGCUCCUGUCUAAGGUCACCAGGACCAGGCCAUCAGCAUAUCUCAGGGAUUUUCUGUUUUGGGCCUCCGGGAUCUCUCAUGGCCUCAGGGUCCCUGGUGGCAGUAAACUCAGGAAUACCUCAAAAACCUCCGGUUUCAUUUUCUCUAUUUUUUUAGAAGUGGAG